rnacentral:rRNA from 1 species
AACAACUCACCUGCCGAAUGAAUUAGCCCUGAAAAUGGAUGGCGCUCAAGCGGGUAGCCGAAACUGUGCCAUCUGGCCCAAAAAUAUUGUUGACAGAUGAGUAGGAAGGAAACGUAGCGGUUGUAUAGAAGCGUGUGCGCAAGCAUGCGUGGAACGGCCGCUAGUGCAGAUCUUGGUGGUAGUAGCAAAUAUUCAAAUGAGAUCCUUGAAGGGCGAAGCGGGGAAGGGUUCCAUGCGAACAUUGAUUGGGCAUGGGUGAGUCGUUCCUAAGCCGUCUGGUAAUUUGCUAGACAUUUCGGCGAAAGGGAAGCAGGUUGAUAUUCCUGCACACGGAUGUGGAAAUGCGGUGACGCACACUGGGGCGGUGAAUGUGUUUUGUGUGAAAAAAUUCCACGCCGUAAGGUACCCAUACCCGCAUCAGGUCCCCAAGGUGAACAGCCUCUGCUCGAUAUGAAAAAUGCAGGUGAGGGAAGUCGGCAAAUUAGACCCGUAACUUUGGGAAAAGGGUUGGCUCUAGUGCUGUGUAGGAGUGGUUGCUGGUUGUAGCCGUGAAUUGGGUUGAUUUUGGCCGGAGGUUUGGAAAGAAAGGGAAAAAAAAUGUGCAUUCGUGUGCAUUUGGACCCCAAUUUUUUCAAGCCAUCGUGUGUGAAAAUUACCCGGUUUGUGGUUCCUAGCGACUGCCUACAGCAUGCAGCAAACUAGAACUGCAACGGACAAAGGGAAUCCGACUGUUUAAUUAAAACAAAGCAUU